GACCCCACGCGCUCUGUACGCACAUCGCUCUCCCGGCGGCGCCCGGUCUGGACGGAGCCCCGUCAGCGCAGGAGCCCUGCGUCAGGCUUUGCCAUUACUGCGUAGUUGCCGCAGUGUGGCUGGGCCACCGUCAGUGGGGCCAGUGCCCCUGGUGGACCUCCGGGCUGCAGCCCAGUUCUUUCUACUUGUGACGGGGCCACAGGCAGGUGAACGGAUAAAUAAUAGAAUACUACUUGGCCCACAAAAAGGAAUGCACUAUUGAUACAAGCAAAAAUACGGAUGAAUCUCAAAGGCAAGAUGUGGAGUGAAAGAAGCCAGACUCAAAAAGCAACGUACUGUAUGAUUCCACGUCCAUGACCUUCUGGAAAAGGCAAACCAUAUGGAGAGAGAACAGCCGCAGCGGAAAGGGAGGCUCGGGGGCAAAGUCACACACCCAAGGUGAUGCAGCUUGUUGGGCGCGGAGCUGGGAUGUGCACCCGCGUCUGCGUGACUUGCUGGUAUGUUCUAUCAUUCCCACUUCGGAGUGGAUCAGGGAACCCGGUGAGCGCAGGCACAAUUUACCCCUGAAUCCUGGCGUCUGAACGAAGCCUCAGCAGAAUUUCACACCAAGUUUGCGCAAGGAGUGGAAACGGAACCUGCAGGAACAAAGAGAAGCUUGUCUUGGGAUGGCGUGCGGGGACUCACUUCAAAAGCUGGCCCCUCGCUCUUUGGCAGGUGGCUGGGGCGCCCACACUUGGAAGUAAAAGAUGGGUCCUCCCUCCCUGAGCUCAAGGACAUGUCUCCAAGACACUCUCUGAAAAACGCUUUAUUUUGGAAUUUAUGUCCAAAGCCAUUUGAAUCUUUAUCAAGGGUAUUUAAAGACCUGUUUGAAAAAUGUCUCCAAUGUAUUUCCUUUUUAAUUUUUGGAUUUGGUCAUGUAUCCCUGAUUUGGUCAUGUAUAUAUAUUGUCUGAAAAGUCCAAAGGAACAAAAGAGAAAGCAAGUCUCCCUUCCAUGCACUUGAACCCCAUCCUCCAUGCACUUGAA